AAAUUGAAGAGUUUGAUCAUGGCUCAGAUUGAACGCUGGCGGCAGGCCUAACACAUGCAAGUCGAACGGUAACAGGAAGCAGCUUGCUGCUUUGCUGACGAGUGGCGGACGGGUGAGUAAUGUCUGGGAAACUGCCUGAUGGAGGGGGAUAACUACUGGAAACGGUGGCUAAUACCGCAUAACGUCGCAAGACCAAAGAGGGGGACCUUCGGGCCUCUUGCCAUCAGAUGUGCCCAGAUGGGAUUAGCUUGUUGGUGAGGUAACGGCUCACCAAGGCGACGAUCCCUAGCUGGUCUGAGAGGAUGACCAGCCACACUGGAACUGAGACACGGUCCAGACUCCUACGGGAGGCAGCAGUGGGGAAUAUUGCACAAUGGGCGCAAGCCUGAUGCAGCCAUGCCGCGUGUAUGAAGAAGGCCUUCGGGUUGUAAAGUACUUUCAGCGGGGAGGAAGGUGUUGUGGUUAAUAACCGCAGCAAUUGACGUUACCCGCAGAAGAAGCACCGGCUAACUCCGUGCCAGCAGCCGCGGUAAUACGGAGGGUGCAAGCGUUAAUCGGAAUUACUGGGCGUAAAGCGCACGCAGGCGGUCUGUCAAGUCGGAUGUGAAAUCCCCGGGCUCAACCUGGGAACUGCAUUCGAAACUGGCAGGCUUGAGUCUUGUAGAGGGGGGUAGAAUUCCAGGUGUAGCGGUGAAAUGCGUAGAGAUCUGGAGGAAUACCGGUGGCGAAGGCGGCCCCCUGGACAAAGACUGACGCUCAGGUGCGAAAGCGUGGGGAGCAAACAGGAUUAGAUACCCUGGUAGUCCACGCCGUAAACGAUGUCUACUUGGAGGUUGUGCCCUUGAGGCGUGGCUUCCGGAGCUAACGCGUUAAGUAGACCGCCUGGGGAGUACGGCCGCAAGGUUAAAACUCAAAUGAAUUGACGGGGGCCCGCACAAGCGGUGGAGCAUGUGGUUUAAUUCGAUGCAACGCGAAGAACCUUACCUGGUCUUGACAUCCACAGAACUUUCCAGAGAUGGAUUGGUGCCUUCUGGAACUGUGAGACAGGUGCUGCAUGGCUGUCGUCAGCUCGUGUUGUGAAAUGUUGGGUUAAGUCCCGCAACGAGCGCAACCCUUAUCCUUUGUUGCCAGCGGUUAGGCCGGGAACUCAAAGGAGACUGCCAGUGAUAAACUGGAGGAAGGUGGGGAUGACGUCAAGUCAUCAUGGCCCUUACGACCAGGGCUACACACGUGCUACAAUGGCGCAUACAAAGAGAAGCGACCUCGCGAGAGCAAGCGGACCUCAUAAAGUGCGUCGUAGUCCGGAUUGGAGUCUGCAACUCGACUCCAUGAAGUCGGAAUCGCUAGUAAUCGUGGAUCAGAAUGCCACGGUGAAUACGUUCCCGGGCCUUGUACACACCGCCCGUCACACCAUGGGAGUGGGUUGCAAAAGAAGUAGGUAGCUUAACCUUCGGGAGGGCGCUUACCACUUUGUGAUUCAUGACUGGGGUGAAGUCGUAACAAGGUAACCGUAGGGGAACCUGCGGUUGGAUCACCUCCUUACCUUAAAGAA
rnacentral:rRNA from 1 species